rnacentral:tRNA from 1 species
UGUCCUGUGGUGUAAUUGGCAACACGUCUGAUUCUGGAUCAGAAGAGUCAAGGUUCGACCCCUUGCAGGACAA